GUGGACAGAACCGGCUCAGGUAGAUACUGGGUUUGGGUUGUUACGUGGCGGACAGAACCGGCUCAGGUAGAUACUGGGUUUGGGUUGUUACGUGGUGGACAGAACCGGCUCAGGUAGAUACUGGGUUUGGGUUGUUACGUGGUGGACAGAACCGGCUCAGGUAGAUACUGGGUUUGGGUUGUUACGUGGUGGACAGAACCGGCUCAGGUAGAUACUGGGUUUGGGUUGUUACGUGGCGGACAGAACCGGCUCAGGUAGAUACUGGGUUUGGGUUGUUACGUGGCGGACAGAACCGGCUCAGGUAGAUACUGGGUUUGGGUUGUUACGUGGCGGACAGAACCGGCUCAGGUAGAUACUGGGUUUGGGUUGUUACGUGGCGGACAGAACCGGCUCAGGUAGAUACUGGGUUUGGGUUGUUACGUGGCGGACAGAACCGGCUCAGGUAGAUACUGGGUUUGGGUUGUUACGUGGCGGACAGAACCGGCUCAGGUAGAUACUGGGUUUGGGUUGUUACGUGGCGGACAGAACCGGCUCAGGUAGAUACUGGGUUUGGGUUGUUACGUGGCGGACAGAACCGGCUCAGGUAGAUACUGGGUUUGGGUUGUUACGUGGUGGACAGAACCGGCUCAGGUAGAUACUGGGUUUGGGUUGUUACGUGGUGGACAGAACCGGCUCAGGUAGAUACUGGGUUUGGGUUGUUACGUGGUGGACAGAACCGGCUCAGGUAGAUACUGGGUUUGGGUUGUUACGUGGUGGACAGAACCGGCUCAGGUAGAUACUGGGUUUGGGUUGUUACGUGGUGGACAGAACCGGCUCAGGUAGAUACUGGGUUUGGGUUGUUACGUGGUGGACAGAACCGGCUCAGGUAGAUACUGGGUUUGGGUUGUUACGUGGUGGACAGAACCGGCUCAGGUAGGUACUGGGUUUGGGUUGUUACGUGGCUCAGGUAGAUACUGGGUUUGGGUUGUUACGUGGCGGACAGAACCGGCUCAGGUAGAUACUGGGUUUGGGUUGUUACGUGGUGGACAGAACCGGCUCAGGUAGAUACUGGGUUUGGGUUGUUACGUGGUGGACAGAACCGGCUCAGGUAGGUAGAUACUGGGUUUGGGUUGUUACGUGGUGGACAGAACCGGCUCAGGUAGGUAGAUACUGGGUUUGGGUUGUUACGUGGUGGACAGAACCGGCUCAGGUAGAUACUGGGUUUGGGUUGUUACGUGGUGGACAGAACCGG